rnacentral:rRNA from 1 species
AGGACGAACGCUGGCGGCGUGCUUCACACAUGCAAGUCGAACGGGGCUCAUUCGGUGGUAACACCGGAGAAGGCCUAGUGGCGAACGGGUGCGUAACACGUGAAGAACCUGCCCCGAAGACUGGGAUAACAGCGGGAAACCGCUGCUAAUACCGGAUGACCCCACCAGGCCGCAUGGCCAGGUGAGGAAAUGGGCCUACCGCUUCGGGAGGGCUUCGCGGCCUAUCAGCUUGUUGGUGGGGUAACGGCCUACCAAGGCUACGACGGGUAGCUGGUCUGAGAGGACGACCAGCCACACUGGGACUGAGACACGGCCCAGACUCCUACGGGAGGCAGCAGUGGGGAAUCUUGCGCAAUGGGCGAAAGCCUGACGCAGCAACGCCGCGUGAGGGAUGAAGGUCUUCGGGUUGUAAACCUCUUUCGAGCAGGGACGAUUGUGACGGUACCUGCAGAGAAGCUCGGCCAACUACGUGCCAGCAGCCGCGGU